GUACGAUAAGAAACUAACCUGAUUUUAGCGAAGAAAUCCUCAUUUCUGUUGUUAGUAGAGGACAAGACUAUUUUC